UACAGAGGUGGCAAGCGUUGUUCGGAAUUACUGGGCGUAAAGGGCGCGUAGGCGGCCCGUCAAGUCCCGUGUGAAAGCCCCCGGCUCAACCGGGGAACGGCGCGGGAAACUAGCAGGCUUGAGUUCGGGAGAGGGAAGCGGAAUUCCGGGUGUAGCGGUGAAAUGCGCAGAUAUCCGGAGGAACACCGGUGGCGAAGGCGGGUCUCUGGGCCGAUACUGACGCUGAGGAGCGAAAGCAUGGGGAGCGAACAGG
rnacentral:rRNA from 1 species